rnacentral:ncRNA from 3 species
AGAAGACCCUGUUGAGCUUGA